GACAGAGGGUGCAAACGUUGUUCGGAAUUACUGGGCGUAAAGCGAGUGUAGGCGGUUUAGAAAGUCGGAUGUGAAAGCCCCGGGCUCAACCCGGGAAGUGCACUCGAUACUACCAAGCUAGAGUAUCGGAGAGGUUGGCGGAAUUCUCGGUGUAGAGGUGAAAUUCGUAGAUAUCGAGAGGAACACCGGCGGCGAAGGCGGCCAACUGGACGAAUACUGACGCUGAGACUCGAAAGCGUGGGUAGCAAACAGG
rnacentral:rRNA from 1 species